rnacentral:tRNA from 1 species
GGUCUUAUAUUCAAAAUUGAUUUUAAAUUGCAAAUUUAAAGGUGGAAUGUAAUCCUAAGGCUU